UACGAAGGGGGCGAGCGUUGUUCGGAUUUACUGGGCGUAAAGGGCGCGCAGGCGGCCAUUCAAGUCAGGCGUGAAAGCCCCGGGCUUAACCGGGGAACUGCGUCUGAUACUGGAUGGCUUGAGUUUGGGAGAGGGAUGCGGAAUUCCAGGUGUAGCGGUGAAAUGCGUAGAUAUCUGGAGGAACACCGGUGGCGAAGGCGGCAUCCUGGACCAACACUGACGCUGAGUGAGCGAAAGCCAGGGGAGCAAACGGG
rnacentral:rRNA from 1 species